GUGGGCGGCUGCUUCCUGGAGACCACAGGUAUAGAAGGGAGAGCUGCGCCCCUCGCCGAUCGGCUUGCAGGAUGAAUGUGGGAGUAGCACACAGCGAAGUAAACCCCAACACUCGAGUGAUGAAUAGCCGGGGCAUCUGGCUGGCCUACAUCAUCUUGGUAGGACUGCUGCAUGUGGUGCUACUCAGCAUCCCCUUCUUCAGCAUUCCUGUUGUCUGGACCCUGACCAACGUCAUCCAUAACUUGGCCAUGUAUGUCUUCCUACAUACAGUGAAAGGGACACCCUUUGAGACCCCUGACCAAGGAAAGUCUCGGCUACUGACACACUGGGAACAGAUGGACUACGGGCUCCAAUUUACCUCUUCCCGCAAAUUCCUCAGCAUCUCUCCUAUUGUACUCUACCUCCUAGCCAGCUUCUACACCAAGUAUGAUGCUGCUCACUUCCUGAUCAACACAACCUCAUUGCUCAGCGUACUGCUGCCUAAAUUGCCCCAAUUCCAUGGGGUUCGUCUCUUUGGCAUCAAUAAAUACUGAGGGAUGGGACUGGGGACAACAUUGGAACAAAAGGCUGUAACAUCUUUCCCUUCUCCAUACUGUCUUCCUUUUCUUGGAAGCCUGAAAACUAUACAACUGUUCCAAAACUCCCAGGACGAGAACAGAUUGGAAAAUGGGGCUCCCUGGGAGUAGCCCUGCUAGGAGCAGGCUUCUUUGAAUCAGGAAAGGCAAAUGAGAUAUGGCUACUCUUUGGUCAGCAGGGAGGGUAGGGAGAUGUCCUCAUAAGGCUGGGGAAGAAAGAUGGAACAGUGACUUAAUACACAAAACUUCUCUAAGCCCUUUUGACUCCCUGACAUUGAUUUGAGGAAAGAAGAAAACAAGUGUCAACGUUGGAAGGGCCUCCUCACUUUCUU